UUCUAUUGUUUCAGAUAUUUCUUCUCGCUCCUCUUUUUUCUCUCUCUAAAAUCCUUUCGUUUUCAUCCUCUUACAAAAUUCAUGCCCUAUCCAAGCAGAUCUCUCAUUUUAUAUUGAUAUAUUCCUUCUCUUUUCUCUCCGAUUAUCCCACAGAUUUCGAUCCCAACUUUCCUAUCUUCUGAUCGCAAAUUUCUUGUAGUUUUUCCCAUUUUUUUUCCUUGCCGAUAACUAGCUUUGCUUUGAGAUUAAUUAUAUUGACUCUUUAAUGCUGGUUUCUCUUUAUUUGAAUAAUCUGCAGCUGAUUUUUAGAGUUACGACGGAAUCAGAAGAUGCCGUUUGGCUCUCAGACUUUCUUCUUCUUGGUAAUGUUAUUGUGGAAGUUAUGUUUUGUAUGCUGAACUUGAACAGUGGAUGCUUUUAUUGAAGAUCUGGAUGCUCUUUGCUCUCCAGUCAUUGCUAUGAAGUUGCCAUUUGUAAACCAAUGUCCUUGACAAAGGACUUCUUGAAGCUGCACGUGUGAUGGUUUAUUUGGCAACAUUUCAUUGAAUGAGGUGAUCUUCUGUCACAGCAUAAGCAUAAAUAAGCCAGGGGUUAGUAUCAAAGUGAAUUGCUUUCAUUUUCCACAUCUUACGAGCAAUUUGCUAAUUAUACAUCCACAAUAUCUAUCAUUAUGUUCAUGCUUUAUAGCUGUGUUAAUUUGAUGACAAGCAAGCAAGGGGUCAAGGGUGUAUUGCAGUGGCAUGUUCUUUCGUAUUUUUCUACUUUUUAGUUUCCUUGUUUCCGUGUUCUUUUGAUUUGUCUAAUCUGUUCUGAUUUUAAUAGUGUAUGUUCUUGCAAUGUCUAUUUCCUCCAUUUUUGCAAAUAUUUUCUUUGAAUGGAUUAUUGUGUAGGUCUGUUCAGUGAACACUGAAUGGAUCAUGGGAUCAGUAUCAGCCCUAGUUGUUAACAUAAGCAACGCCAAGUCCGAGAGUUAUCAGAGAAAAAAGGGGCUUGGCAUCAAUUUAUGAUAAAGCAACUGUGGGACAUAAUCAAAUGCUUGUCAUGUGGAGGAAGUUAUACCCUAAUUUUGUAGCUCUUGCUUGUGUAUCAUAGUUCUGUUGCUGUGGCUGACUUAGCUGAAGAUGGACAGGCACAUUUGAUUCCUCUACGAUACCCAGCCCAUUAGUUCUAAGGUAAUCUCUGUUUACUCCAUUUAUGUUCCCUGCUCCAUAAGCCUGGGAUGUGCAAAUUUGCAAAUGAGGGUAAAGUGAAAACAUCUCUCAAUUUUAUGGAGAACUUAAGUUCGAUGAUUUCAUACGUCUAAAGAUAAUUGAAGAUCGCAUUAUUUAUCCAAACCUCUAUCUUCUUAUACAUUUCCAUGUUUUCUCGACAAAUUAGGUUUACCUUCUUAUAGAGCUCCACAUUUUCUUGGUGAAUGAGGUUUCCCUGAAACAAAAACAAUAAAAGUUCAGCUACUUGAAUUGGAAAACUGUGAAAAUAAAAAUUAGUGGCCAUUGUCUCAAGGGCUCACCUUUCUGUUUAGUUCCUGAAUUUCAUCCAUUAAGAUUUGGUCCUAAACAAGUCAAAUAUUAAUAUCAGUGACAUGCAUGUGCUUGAUAUGCAAGUAUUUGAAAACUUAAGAGGAUGAACUUUGGGAUAAGACUUCCAAACCUUUUUCGUACGAACACCCCGGAGACUCAUUUCCAGUCGACUUUCCAAAUUUUGUAACUCCUUUAUGCUCAAGCCAGAGAGUUCUUCACCCAUCAUUUGCCUGUUAUUGUUGCAUGCAAAUGCAAUGGUGUAACUCCAUUUCUCCUGAUACCAGUACUUGGUUUGUGGAUUUGUGACUGUUGAUAUCAUUAAGGUGUGCUAAAUGCUUUGCUUUCUUUUAUGUUCAGAUUAAAAUAUAUCUUCGAUCUACUUUUAUGAAGGUAGAUUGUCAAUAAUGAAAGACACUUGGUCAAUGCCGCUUGCUCUAUAACUACAUGCUUUUUGCACAUGAAAAGUAAUUGCUGUGGUUCUCUACUGUUUGAAUAGGAAAUCAACAUUAUAAUUGUUUAUGGUUAAUCUUGGGGUGAAUUUUAUGAAUCUGCCUUCCAUUUCAAUGAAUUGUUAUCAUUUUCUCUUUAGCUUUAAAAGUUGCAGAUAGUUACUUGAAAACGCCCAGUUGUUCACAAAUGGCCCUUCUUUGUGCACCUAACGGUCUAGACUAUCAUCUAUAAAAGUUGAUCUAUCUAUUAUUUUCUAAAGCUAGAUUAGAGGUCCUGAUAAAAAUUCACUAAACAUGCAAGGUCCAGUAUAUAUAUGUUUAGUCUUAAUACUGUAUUUAUUUUCUACAUGCACUUAUGCUGGCCCAACAUGAUGAAGAAAAAUUACUCUGAAAUGCAUUAGUUAUUGGUUUUGUGAGUCUGAAAACUUACUGUGGAUGUCGGCGUUAUCAAUGUUGUUAAUGCAUUUGGGAAGAUGUUGACGGACACUAGAUUAUGAUAAAGCAACAAGCCAGUCAUUUACACAAUUAUUCAAGUAGUGACAGAAAAUUUUGCGAAAGGUAUACAGCGAGUUGGUUCAAAGUUAAAUUUUAGAUUGAUUCAGAAGUGAACUCUAACGCGUAAGGGUAUUGGCUUCCUGAAUGUUUUGAUGGUUUCUCUUUACUUUUUCCUGAUGGGGAUGGCUAAGCUGCAAUUUGUGUUAUGCUUAUGUACCAAAUCUUGCAUAAUUGUACCUGUAGUGCAUAUUAACCUGUAAGUCUGUAUUAGAAAAUAGUCUUUAGUUCUGGUUUUGUAAUACUUUAGCUAUUUUGUAAAACUUGCUUCCACUUCAGCAUAUGCUUCCGGAGCUUUUAGGGGGAUUUCGUCAUUGGAGGGCAUUACAUUUUAUCUUGUUUCUCAAGUUAUUGUUCAUAAUUGUUUGUUGAAUCUUGUAGGGGAUAUCUUUUUCAAUAAAACUUCUUACUGAAAAUGGAAAAAUAAAAAAAAAACAAAAAUUAAGCCAUAUGUACUUAUCCUUCAUAUAGAAAAAUUACAACUGUGUUGUAGGUACUAAAUGAUAUGUUUUAUAUGGAGGGGGGUCAGCAGCGUGGAUUAAGAAAACAUUAGUAUUUUCCCUCCUUCAGAGGUAAUUGUUUUUGGUUGAAUUGAUAGUUGCAUGAAUGGUUUGGUUUAACAGGCGUUCAUUAACUUUUGUUAAAAUCAUUAAGACGUGUGUUGGCGUUCAUCAACUUUUGUUAAAAACAUUAAGAUGUAGUACAACAAACAUUUAUCGAUAUAUAGGAUUCAUCCAUGAUAGCACAUGAUUUUUUUUUUUUGCACAAACAAUUGUGAACUUUAAGUUUCUGCAUUUGUCUAUUUAUAUAAAUAAAGCAAAGUGAGCAGACAGAAGUUGAGCCUCUUUAAAUUUGCCAUGUAUGCUUUUAAUCAUUCUAUAAAUUUCAAGUUGGUCAAUUUGUAUGCAUGAGGUUGAUGGUCAUGUUCACAUUGCUAAACUAGCAAUGCUAAGGUUCAUGACCCAAUUUUUGGUAGUUAAUUUCAUUCCUAAGUGGGGAUGAAAUAAAUGGUAUUUAGGUUACAGUUGGAUAGAUGAGAUGAGUUGGAUAUACUAACAAUUAUAACUACUGUUGAUACUUAAAAUUCCAUUUCACGUAUGUACUUUUUAUGUUUCACCUGCUGUUCACAAGAACUCUAUAUAUUAAUUAUCCAUUCAAAGGUGUAGGGUUAUAGCUUAAAUUAAAUUUGCAUCAUGAUGAAAAUUUUGAAGUCCAUGAAUGAUUCUCUUUGAAAAAAAAAAAAAAAAUCAGCUUGUAGUUGAGAGUGAUGUAGUAAAAGUAUGACCAAUAUCUCUUUCUUUUUAUCCUCUUUUAUCUUUUUGAUUGGAUGGGUGGGGUGUUGGAGGUGAGGAGAGGGGACCGCCUCUGCCAUCCCUUGUCCCCUUUUGCAUGACAUGCAUGCUUUACAUGCCUCUACUGACAUAGGUAUUCUGCAUUAGUAAGGCUUUUGCUAAUGUUAAAUGAGUUCUGAACAUAUGGAGAUCAGUAAUGUCUGCAAGCAUCUGAUCAUAAAAAUGGCACCUCUUACACAUUAAAAGGUUCCAAUUUCUCAUCUUUGCACUGUUUUACUCUUUCUUCAUGCCUCUCACAUGACAAAUUAAUGUUCAAAAGGAAAAUUCAUACCGAUGAUUUCCUUGUAAGUUUUGCAGUUGUUGCCUCAACAUAGCUGCCUCCCUCUGCCAGAACUAGCAAAAUUCACAAUUUAGCAACAUAUUAGCCUUUUCUGUUUUUCCUGGCUACAUAAAUUAUUUCUCUCUGUAAUGCUCAUGACCAAAUAGUAAUAUCAUUAACUUUUUCAUGUCUGAUUUUUCUUCACCCACCUAAUUUCAGUGUGGUGCUUAAUUAUUUUUUAGUCUGAUUUUGCAUUAUACAUUUAUUGAGUUCAUUAUGCUCUUCCAAGAUUCAGAAUUCAAGUGCAGCCAUGGAUUUCAUGACAGAUACCAUGAAUUUGCUGCAUGAUUCGAUGACAAGUAUCAGUGGAAAAAAAAAAAAAAAACAUGAACCGUUUUUUAGUAUCAAUAAUAUGCUUUAUGGGAGAUCCUGUAGUUCUUUUAAUGACUACCUAUGUAUGACUAGUUGCCAGUAUGUUAGAGGGCUAACAACAUAACAGAUGGAGUUAAAUCUUAUCAGCUAGAAUCAGUAUUGUUUGGCUUUGUUGUAUUGAGUGUUUAUCUGCUUAAUUGGAUAAUAUUGACAAGACAUGGCCGCAAUUCACUAAUGGACUACAUUGCUGGAGUCUGAUUAUACUUACUGUUCUUUCACAUGUAUUUUUGGUUCCACUUUCAGCUGAUCUGGUGAGAUACUCUUUUAUAUUGAUAUUAUAUCAUUAACAAAAUAGAAAAGUAAAGGUUCUGUGUUAUGUUAAAAUUAUAAAAUGGUUAGGUUGGUGCUGACUGCUUAACAAUGUGGAAGCCAAUAUCUAAACAGAUUAAACUUUCAGGGAGGUGACAUGGUAGGAAAUGCCCAUUCUCUCUUCCUAUGUACUAAUAACUGCCUUUUCUUUCCUUACCAUGUUCUCUAUGUGCCAGAAUUAGUGUUGUUUUCCAUUUUUAGAGCUUGAAGACUUUAUCUUUUCUAGUGACAAUUCUGGACUUAAAACACUAGCAUGUGUUGGUUGUUUUUUUUUUGUUUUCUACCUGAUGUGGGGGAUGUAUUGUUUAUGUCAUUUGCAACAUUUAUGUCAUCAUUCUUCCUUUGCAAUCAUACCAAGGCAUGUGGCAUAGGCUAUCUUUAUGAACUUUUUUAACACAAUCCUUACAUUUAGAUUUCCAUUCUCAGACCAUUUUGACACCAAGGUUACUUGGAAAUUUCAUUGUCUAUCUUACCCUUUUGAGCAUAGCAAAUUCCUACAUGUGGAUGCCAUAAAGAUGUCUGUUUUAGGUCAAAGUUUCAAAAGAUUGUUGGAUUCAGUAUCAUUUUCAAGUUCAGCAUGUUUGUCUUUAGUGCCAUUUAUAGCCUACACAUAUGAGGAUCUUGAUUUAAAAAGGCCAGAAACCUGAAUUUGCAUGAAGGGUGAAUGUAGUGAAAAUAUGAUGAUUUGUCAUGCAUAAGUUCAAUACUUGAAAAUGCAGUGACAGAAAAUUGAGUGAGUAAUGUGAUACCUUCACUUCGGACAUUGGGCUUCCCAUCUGAUGUUGUUCCUCUUUUGAUUUGUUGUAUCUUUCAAUUACUGAUUUCAUGCUGUAAGAACAAAUUCAAAUUUUAUCAGAAGUACAUUUUGUAGAAACUGAAAUAUAGCAUGAGAGAUUAACUGAUUGUGUUUCUCUACAUCAUUAUAAUUUUCCUCAUCUGCACCUUCUUCCCUGAGUGAUUAUGUUCCCCUAAGUUUGAUAUUACAGAAUUAUGUUCAUAUGAAAAAGAGUCAUCGAAUACUAUUUUCUGUCACUCUUUUUGCAAAUACUUAAUGCAUAUUCAUGCUUUGCUGGCAAGUUGUAUCCUUUCAUUCUAUGCAACAUUAAUCAAUGAAAAAUCGGUUUUUGGCCUCAUUUACAAUAUUUUUCUCAUCCAGCAUGUAGAAAGAUCACAUUGCAAAAUCAUAAAGAGACACAAACAUAUAUAUAUGAGACUAGAAGUGCAUCUGAAAAUUGCAGCAGUUCAUGUUUUGAGACUGUAUCAAGGAAAUUAGAGUAAAUAAUCAGUUAUUGAGUUUGACCAUUCACCAGGAACAUCUUCAUAGUUGCUCAAUAAUGGUCUUCAAGUUUUGGUCCUCUGAUGUGCAAUGUUCAGUUUGCUUUUGUAUACAACAGCAGUAUUGAAGUAUUCUUAGUACAUGUUCAGUAAAAGGCUGCUGUGCUCUCAAUUUUAUUUUCUUUCAGUUUCUAACUGAUGGACAUCAACCAAAGCAGAACGAGCACAAUCUCUUCCUAGUGGUUAUACCCAGAUAACAUGAGAAAUCGCCCGAUCUCAUGCAAUGGAAAAGUUCAACAAAUGUUGUCAACUCAUAACCUGCAAUAGCUUCUAGUUAAUUGGAAAUUGACCAUCCACAAAUUUAGGUCAUACUGUCUCUUGUUUCAUGCAUUCCUAUAUUUCAAAAUGAGUUAAACUUAGUUAUGAUUUAUAACUAAAUCCACCAAUCAAGUUGGCAUUGGCUUGUGAGUGUGACUGAGCAAAUACUAGACAGAUCAAGGCUUCAUAUGCAUGCGUAGAAAGUGGUUAACAAUCAAACCCAAGUAGUGAAUCUUUGGUUGGAGACUAGUUUGGAAAGACAAUUCACUAUUACUUUUUGAAUAAUAUCAAAACUAAAUAGUCUUGAAUCAGAGAUUCCACUAGGAAACAUGAAGGAAAAUGCUGCUUGAGAUUCAGAUUUCUUGGUAUAAAGGAGCUAGCUUGUACCUAAGUUUAAGGAGCUUGACUAUCCACUUUUCUUUUUCCACUUAGCCAAGCCUUAACCUAGACUGAUAAAAGCCUCAAAUACUUAUUUUUAGUUAGUGAUAAGGAACUAGCAUAUUUGAUUAUUUGCUUUUCUAACUACCUUUUAUUAUGGACCGAUAAUACUAUAGAGGAACAAUGCUAUUUCGGUUUGCAUUAAAUUCACUAGGGCAUGACUGAAUAUGAGGUGGGUGUUACUCAACAAUGUUUGUAUGCUGUACUUAUUUGUAGUUAUUGUUAUACUACAUAUCAUACAUGGGGAAUUACGGUCUGUAAAUAAUAUACUUCAGCGAAAGGUAGCCGAGCUUACAAUAUUUCUAGAGAAUCUCACAAGUGGGGGAAGUUGGAGUGAGGUGGUUAACUUAGGGCCUGUGUGGUUCACCAUAGAAUUACGAUUUUGAACUAUUAACCAUUUAACUUUAUAAGUUGCUCAAAGUGCCAUACCAAAUACCAAGUUGAUGGUAAAGUCAAAAGUCAGCCCACAAACGGUCUUGGUGAAUGUUUUGGGGGUUGGGGAGACACUGUGAUGGGUGGUGAGAUCUAGCACCUCCUUUUGAUACUUGUUAGUUUAGUCUAUGUUAGUAUGCGACACUAUUAGAUUGUUAAUUUAGCAAAACACAAGGGUGUAAUUGGUUCACUUAAUUUGCAUAGGUGUUAGAUCCCAUUAACUUGUGGUGGAACAUGAGGCCAAGUAGAUAUUAGUGUAUGCAUAGAGUUCUAUAUCAUGUGAUAAAUACCCAGUUCAACCUAAAAAUCUAAACCAACUAACAAGCCUCAAACAACAUGUUGAAUCAAGGUAGUUAAAAGUAUAAGGCGCACUCAAAGCAAUGCAUCAUUCUAUCACUAAAAGCGCAAAGCGCAAAAAAAGCAUUUGUUUCAUUAAAGGAAGUGCAAAAUUAUUAAAUAAUUAAUUAAUAAUAUGAUAUGCAAAGAAAUACAAUCCUUUAUGUAAUAUUUAAACACUUAAGAAAUCAUCAAACAUUCUAAAGUUUUAGUAUUCAAAAUCAUAGUCAUAACCUAGAGAUCUUCACUACAUUUCCCAUCAAAGUCCUCAAUACUUUCAUCCUCAUCUCCAAAAUAAGAUCCAUUUUUAUCAAAAUCUUCAUUUAAAUCAAUCUCAACAUCUUCCAAUAUUGGCCUUGAAGAUGAGGUCUUUACGGUCUGUGCUUUAGGUGCAAGAUGCUUUCAAUUUACUAAAUGCGUUUCACUUAACAUCUUUAAAAGCUCUUUCUUAUUUGUCGUUGUGAUUUUCCGUUUUAGCAAGUGCUUUUUGCAUUUUUGACUACACUGUAUUGAAUCUCUUAUAAUGUAGGAUGUUUUAACUCUGCAUAUAUCAUCCUCAACUAUCCUAACACUGUAAGCUUUUUUUUUUUUUUUAUUUCUCUUAAUUUUCAAUAUUUUUGUUUGAAAAAUCACCUUCAUGGUUGAUCUCCUAACAUAAACCAAAUUGGUUAUUAUAGAUAUUUGAAUAGCAAUUCAAUCUAUGCCUUAUUAAUCUUUACCAAAGUUCCAUUGUAACUCAUGAAAUCGAUAUUUUAAUGGUUUGAGCAACUUUGUAUAUUUAAAUUAUUCUCAAAAAUUUCAUUAUUUUUUUCAUUUGUAUAACAUAUUAAUCAAAAAAUAUAAAAAAUAUAUAAAAAUAUAUGUAAAAUUAACAUAUUUACUAAAAUAUUGUGGAGUAAUAUUUGAUCAAUUAUAAACCAUUAACGAUUAGCUAGUAAGCAACAACUAUCAAUUAGCACUAACCCACUAAAAAUGUUCAUAUUUAGGUAAGUAACAUUACUAUUUCUCGUCAUUACCACUAAGAAAUACUAAAUUGAAAAAGUUAUUUAAGUUGACAAAUUAUCAAUUUCUAUGGUUAAAUUAUAUUUAUUGUCUCUCAACUAAGAGUGUUAUAAUAAUAUUGUUCCUAAAAAUCAAUUUGUAUCACAAAAGCUACACUUUUAAUUCAAGUAAUCAUUAAAAUCCUUUUGACUAGAUUCUAACCAUUUAUCUAGCGAGGUAAUAAUAAAGUAGCUAUGUUAGUGCCUUUCAUACAUUUACAAU